CUCGUAGCUCAGCUGGAUAGAGUACCUGGCUACGAACCAGGCGGUCAGAGGUUCGAAUCCUCUCGAG
rnacentral:tRNA from 1 species